GAGGGGAUACUCCGGGAAACCGGAGCUAAUACCGGAUAAUAAAGAGAAACGCCUGUUUCUUUUUUGAAAGUCGGUUUCGGCUGACACUUACAGAUGGGCCCGCGGCGCAUUAGCUAGUUGGUGAGGUAACGGCUCACCAAGGCGACGAUGCGUAGCCGACCUGAGAGGGUGAUCGGCCACACUGGGACUGAGACACGGCCCAGACUCCUACGGGAGGCAGCAGUAGGGAAUCUUCGGCAAUGGACGAAAGUCUGACCGAGCAACGCCGCGUGAGCGAUGAAGGCCUUCGGGUCGUAAAGCUCUGUUGUCAGGGAAGAACAAGUACCGGAGUAACUGCCGGUACCUUGACGGUACCUGACCAGAAAGCCACGGCUAACUACGUGCCAGCAGCCGCGGUAAUACGUAGGUGGCAAGCGUUGUCCGGAAUUAUUGGGCGUAAAGCGCGCGCAGGCGGUUCUUUAAGUCUGAUGUGAAAGCCCACGGCUCAACCGUGGAGGGUCAUUGGAAACUGGGGAACUUGAGUGCAGGAGAGAAAAGUGGAAUUCCACGUGUAGCGGUGAAAUGCGUAGAGAUGUGGAGGAACACCAGUGGCGAAGGCGGCUUUUUGGCCUGUAACUGACGCUGAGGCGCGAAAGCGUGGGGAGCAAACAGGAUUAGAUACCCUGGUAGUCCACGCCGUAAACGAUGAGUGCUAGGUGUUGGGGGGUUCCACCCUCAGUGCUGACGUUAACACAUUAAGCACUCCGCCUGGGGAGUACGGCCGCAAGGCUGAAACUCAAAGGAAUUGACGGGGGCCCGCACAAGCAGUGGAGCAUGUGGUUUAAUUNGAAGCAACGCGAAGAACCUUACCAGGUCUUGACAUCCUCUGACCACUUGAGAGAUCAAGCUUUCCCCUUCGGGGGACAGAGUGACAGGUGGUGCAUGGUUGUCGUCAGCUCGUGUCGUGAGAUGUUGGGUUAAGUCCCGCAACGAGCGCAACCCUUGACCUUAGUUGCCAGCAUUCAGUUGGGCACUCUAAGGUGACUGCCGGUGACAAACCGGAGGAAGGUGGGGAUGACGUCAAAUCAUCAUGCCCCUUAUGACCUGGGCUACACACGUGCUACAAUGGGUGGUACAAAGGGUUGCGAAGCCGCGAGGCCGAGCCAAUCCCAAAAAGCCACUCUCAGUUCGGAUUGUAGGCUGCAACUCGCCUACAUGAAGCCGGAAUUGCUAGUAAUCGCGGAUCAGCUGCCGCG
rnacentral:rRNA from 2 species